rnacentral:tRNA from 1 species
GCGCCCGUAGCUCAGCAGGACAGAGCACCGGUUUCCUAAACCGGGGGUCGCAGGUUCGAAUCCUGCCGGGCGCG